GUCCCUUUGGGGACAUCCAUAAAAUUGGAACGAUAAGAGAAGAUUAGCAUGACUCGGCGCAAGGAUAAUAUGUACAAAUUGAGAAAUAAUCCAAAUUUUC